rnacentral:rRNA from 1 species
GAUCCUGGCUCAGAAUCAACGCUGGCGGSGUCCUUAACMCAUCCAAGUCGACCGCGAAAGUGGGGGCAACUCCCAUGAGUAGAGUGCCAGACGGGUGAGUAACACGUGGGUACCUUCCCCUGGAGUGAGGAAUAACCCCGCGAAAGCGGGGCUAAUACCGCAUAACAUCCUUGGGACAUACGUUCCGGGGAUCAAAGCCCGCAAGGGCGCUUCAAGAGGGGCCCGCGCCUGAUUAGCUAGUUGGUAGGGUAACGGCCUACCAAGGCGACGAUCAGUAGCCGGCCUGAGAGGGUGAACGGCCACACUGGAACUGAGACACGGUCCAGACUCCUACGGGAGGCAGCAGUGGGGAAUUUUGCGCAAUGGGCGAAAGCCUGACGCAGCAACGCCGCGUGGGUGAUGAAGUCCCUUGGGACGUAAAACCCUGUCGGCUGGGACGAAACGACCCGCAAGGGUAAUUGACUGUACCAGCAGAGGAAGCCCCGGCUAACUCCGUGCCAGCAGCCGCGGUAAUACGGGGGGGGCAAGCGUUAUUCGGAAUUACUGGGCGUAAAGGGCGUGUAGGCGGCCUAGCAAGUCAGUUGUGAAAGCCCCAGGCUCAACUUGGGAAUUGCAACUGAAACUGCCGGGCUAGAGUUCAGGAGAGGAGGGCGGAACUCCCAGUGUAGCGGUGAAAUGCGUAGAUAUUGGGAGGAACACCGGUGGCGAAGGCGGCUCUCUGGACUGAAACUGACGCUGAGGCGCGAAAGCCAGGGGAGCGAACG